CCUGGGAGCCCUGGGCAUGGGAGUGGCCCCGCGGUGGCCUGAAGGACGCACUCCCACACCCGCUUGCGUCCCGGAGCGUGCACGCCCGCAGAGCCUUGGUGGGCCAGAAAAUGAAAAGACGUCUCCCCUCAGCUACGCGCUUUCCCUCCUCCAUCCGCGGAAGUGCCCCCUUGGGAGAGUCCGGUUGUACUUCAGCCCUGAGACCUCUGCUCCCUCUAUCCGGCUGGGUGUUUCCAACAGGUAAAUAACAAGCGACGCAGUAGUAUAAGUAUGCCCCAUGCAACAUUUAGGGCAUAUUCUAAAAUUUUAUUUGUUGUUCAUCUGUAAUUCACAUUUAACUGGACUUUCUGCAUUUUUUUCCUGGUAGAGGGGAUUGAAGCCAGGGCUUCCACACUAAGCUACAUCCCAAGCCCUUUAUUACUUAUUUUUAAAAUUUUGACACAGGGUCUCUCUAAGUCGCCAAAUUGCCCAGGCUGGGCUGAAUUCGCCACCCUCCUGCUUCAGCCACCCAGAGUGCUAAGAUCACAGGCCUAUGAGCCGCCAUGCCCGGCUUGCUUUCUGUGCUUUUAGGUUCUAAAUCUGAUAACCCUAUCCAUAAGGGCAGAGGUGGUGAAGACGCCAGACACAAAGUCUCCCUCAGUCUCUGCCUUGAGACUCACACUCUAGAAGGAGACAGACUGGUCAACCAGCUCAGGGAACAGGGCACAUUAGCGCCAGAGCGCACACACGGCAUCAACCCCAACACGCGUACCUCUGCCCGUGUGCGGCGAGACACAGCUCUCAACCAGUUCCCGAUGGUGGUGAGCACUGAGGCGAAGUAGGCCAGGCCAAGCAGGAUCCAGAACCACACCAGCGGCUGGUAGGCUGGAGACUCCUGCUUGGGGUCAGCCCCUGGGAUGCCACCAGGGAAGGAGGAAAGAAGUUGAUUGAAUGCCAAGCCUGUGAGCCCUCUGUUCACUGCCCCUCUUCCUGCUUUGCCUCUCCAGGGCAAAGGGCUUGUGCUAGAAUGUACGAGUGUGUACGGGAAGGUCAGUGCAUGAGUUGAAGGUGUGCAAGACAGAGUGUGCAAGAGCAGGUGCCCUCAUGCAAGAAGGUGAUAUGUGUGAGAUGUGCAUUUAAUAUAUGUGUGAGCAUGCAUGGGGCUGCAGGCAUGCAAGCAUGUACAUGUGCAUGAGGAGAAGCAUGCAUGGAAUCAUUCCAUGAUGAAUGUAGGUGGAGCAGAGGUGCCACGGUGGAACUUGGAGGGAGAGACCCUGGACAGCAAUGAAAUAGGGACAUGCAGUCCAAAAAGAGCAGCCUCACCAGCCACAUAGUCGCCGAAGCCCACGGUGACAGGUUCUCCCUUAGUUGCCCAGACUGGCCUUGAACUUGUGAUCUUCCUGCCUUGAACCACUUCCUGGGAUUAUAGGUGAUGGAGGUCAAGAGAGUUAAGAGGAUCUACUGAGGGGCCCUUCCUCAAGGAGCACAAGGACAGUCUGUGGGGAAGAUCAUAACCCACCUUUUUUCUCUCUGACUACUGUCCUUAUUAGCAUGAAACAUUCCAAUUAAUCUUCUCCAGGGAUUGCUCCAAACCCUCCAGGCUCCCUUCUGUCUAGAGAAUACUCUAGACUCUCCAUUCCAGCACAUAAGACUUUUUCUUUUUUUUUUUGUACCGGGGAUCGAACUCAGGACCUUGGGCUUGCGAGGCAGGCGCCGGAACCACUGAGCUAAAUCCCCGGCCCACAUAAGACUUCUUCUAAGCUGCUCCCACCUCCCUAUCCCCAGUCUUCUCUCCUGGGGGUUCUGAGUUAUAGCAAUCUCCCCCCAAGUUUGUAAGAUGAUUCCAUUUCCUGUAAUAACAAUUUUUAAUAAAGGCAAGAGAUGAAAUGUCUGAUUAAAUGUAAUUUAAUUUUUAUUUUGUAGCACUUUUUCAAUAAAUUCACUACUUAGGAGGAAAAAAAUCCUUUGUCAUCCUGUGUUCUAAUUUCUGCUUCAAAUGACUAGGCAUCUGCUAAGUCCAGAUUCUGCAAACACUCUAGAGCUUUCCAGUUUCCACACCUUUGCCCAUGCUGUUCCUUUGCCCAGGAGUCAUUUGUCCCCAGUCUCUAACCUCUAUCCCUCAUACCCUCCUCAUUUCAGUUACCAGCUUUCCUUCCUCAUCCCUACCACCCAGCCCAGAGCUCAGCAUACAGUGGAUGCUAAAUAAAGAAAGGAGAGAGGGCUGGGGUUUUAGCUCAGUAGUUCCACCACCUGCCUUGCAAGCUCAAGAACCCGAGUUCAAUCCCCAGUACCAGAAAAAAAAAAAAAAAAGAAAGAAAGAAGGAGAGGAGGCUCCUCUUCCACAGCACCCUACAGUGAUCUGUCUAUAGAUCUGUCCCUUCACCUAGAUGUGACAUCAUCUAAACAGAGCCUGCAUCUGCCCCACCUCAAUAACCAUCACCUAUUCAUCCCUUGGGAUAUAGCACUACAGCCCCAGCACACCGCACUUACAUGUACAAUUGCUGCACAAUUAAUUUAGGGAAUGGC